ensembl:misc_RNA Y_RNA Y RNA
AGUUGGUCCGAAGGUUGUGGGUUGUUGUUAAACUGAUUAAAAUUGUCUCCCCCCACACUCGUACUUGCCUAACUGUGUUUU